AAGGGCACCACAAGAACGCGUGGAGCAUGUGGCUUAAUUUGACUCAACGCGGGAAAUCUUACCGGGUCCGGACACACUGAGGAUUGACAGAUAUAUGCCAUGGUAUUCUCUCGGGAGUACUAUGGCUGAAAGAUGCUAGUUCUUUCAUGAUUAUGUGAUAGGUGGUGCAUGGCCGUUCUUAGUUCGUGGAGUGAUCUGUCUGCUUAAUUGCGUAUCAAUAAUAGAGACCUAGUAUACGCGCAUAUUUCACGCGGUAGUGACCCCCUCUCCGGAGGUGUGUGUCGCACGCUGUGGAUAUGUGCACUGGUCUCCGAUAGCAACGAACGUGACCGUACUCUAUUGUUGCAGCGACAGUGCGUACCUUCGGGUGCGUACUACCACUGCUUAGCGUGUUAUGCUCCUCGUGGGUGUUCGCGCAUUAAACUAUAGAGACCGCUGUUUUUUCCUUAAACCAGAGGAAGGAUACGGCAAUAACAGGUCUGUGAUGCCCUCAGAUGUUCCGGGCUGCACACGUGCUACAAUGAUCAUUGCACUGUGCAUCUAACCCAAUGUGCGCGGACGCCUCGGCGUGGUACUCUUUCGAGGGUGUCAUGUCCUGAGUGCGACCGCGCCGAACCUGCUUCGAAAGUAAAAAUUUCCAGCGGGUAAUCCAUUAGAAGUAAUGACUCGCUUUAGACCUUGGCACACUAUAUGUACGCGCGGGUUCUACCCGGCCAACCUCUGUGUUGGUGCAGUGUGUAGCUCGUUGUUUCGUACGUGCCACUCCGUAUUAAUUCAUACGUGGGGAUAGAUCAUUGUUUAAUUGUUGGUCUCGGUCUUAACUAGGAAUGCCUUGUACGGGUCUUUGGUUCAACAUACCACCCGGAAUACGUCCCUGCCCUUUGUACACACCGCCCGUCGCUCUUACCGAUGGAUUAUACUAUGAAUCUGUAGGACUGCCAAAAGUGUCACUCGUGCCGCUUUAGUGGAAAUAUAUAUGAAUAGUGUGAUCUAAAGGAAAGAGAAGUCGUAACAAGGCAUCGGUAGGUGAACCUGCAGAAGGAUCA
rnacentral:rRNA from 1 species